rnacentral:tRNA from 1 species
GCCUUCGUGCUGUAAUGGUAGCACACUCGGCUCGAGAGAUCCAGGUUCGAGUCCCGGCGAAGGCA